rnacentral:rRNA from 1 species
GACGUAGGAGGCGAGCGUUGUCCGGAUUCAUUGGGCGUAAAGAGCUCGUAGGCGGUUCGGCAAGUCGAAUGUGAAAUCUCCACGCUCAACGUGGAGGGGUCAUUCGAUACUGCCGUGACUCGAGUCCGGUAGGGGAGAGCGGAAUUCCCGGUGUAGAGGUGAAGUUCGUAGAUAUCGGGAGGAACACCAGUGGCGGAAGGCGGCUCUCUGGACAGGUACUGGACGCUGAGACGCGAAAGCGUGGGUAGCAAACAGG